GGGUUGUAAAGUACUUUCAGCGGGGAGGAAGGUGAUAAGGUUAAUACCCUUAUCAAUUGACGUUACCCGCAGAAGAAGCACCGGCUAACUCCGUGCCAGCAGCCGCGGUAAUACGGAGGGUGCAAGCGUUAAUCGGAAUUACUGGGCGUAAAGCGCACGCAGGCGGUCAAUUAAGUCAGAUGUGAAAGCCCCGAGCUUAACUUGGGAAUUGCAUCUGAAACUGGUUGGCUAGAGUCUUGUAGAGGGGGUAGAAGUUCCACGUGUAGCGGUGAAAUGCGUAGAGAUGUGGAGGAAUACCGGUGGCGAAGGCGGCCCCCUGGACAAAGACUGACGCUCAGGUGCGAAAGCGUGGGG
rnacentral:rRNA from 1 species